UAAAGAAAGAGUUUAAUUUUUGCUCCGACUGAACGUUAUCCAGAGGUCUUAAGGCAUGCAAAUCGUUAUUAAUUUCGGUUAAUAAGGUGUACGGGUGAGUAAUAAUAAAUAAGAUACCCUACAGACUUCGGUAAUAGAGGAUAGUUCUUUUUUUUACACAAAUUAAGAAUAAAGGGACUUCAUUUAUGUUAUCUAAAAAUUUUUUAAAAUAUUUAGAAAUAUAAUUCCUACUGUAGGAUUCUAUUUAUCUUGAAUAGGUAGUUGAUAGGGUAAUGGCCUACCAAGCCUACGAUCAAUAGCCAGCUUGAAAGAGGGAUUGGCCACAUUGGGUCUGAAAUUUACCCAAGUAGUGCAUAACUACCAGCAGCCGAGAAUAUUUGUCAAUGCUCGCAAGAGUGAACAAGCCAACUGGAAUCACAACAACUUGUGAUAAAGUAAGGGAGGAUAAUGACGUUACCUUACUAUUAGUGUCGUCUAAAAUUGGUGCCAGAAGACUCGGUAAUACCAAAUACACAAACGUUAGUCAUCAUAAAUAGGCGUAAAGGGUUUGUAGGCUGCUCAUAAUUAUAUAUUAAGAGCUAGAAUCAAAUAGAGGUCAAUAUCAUACCUAGUGAAAGAAUUAAAUCUGUAAAUAUUAGGGGGAAUACUAGAAGCGAAGGCGAUUUUCCAUUUAAUGAUUGACGCUGAGACACGAAGGUUGGGGCAGGAAAUAGGAUGUGCGACCAGCUAAGCCUUUUUAAGUAUUGCGGAUUAAGUCCGUCUUGUAUUCUAUCUUACACGAGUUCGUCUUGAUAGGCAUUAUU
rnacentral:ncRNA from 1 species